rnacentral:rRNA from 1 species
GGACGGGUGAGUAACACGUGGGAACGUGCCUUUAGGUUCGGAAUAACUCAGGGAAACUUGUGCUAAUACCGAAUGUGCCCUUCGGGGGAAAGAUUUAUCGCCUUUAGAGCGGCCCGCGUCUGAUUAGCUUGUUGGUGGGGUAAUGGCCCACCAAGGCGACGAUCAGUAGCUGGUCUGAGAGGAUGACCAGCCACAUUGGGACUGAGACACGGCCCAAACUCCUACGGGAGGCAGCAGUGGGGAAUCUUGCGCAAUGGGCGAAAGCCUGACGCAGCCAUGCCGCGUGUAUGAUGAAGGUCUUAGGAUUGUAAAAUACUUUCACCGGUGAAGAUAAUGACUGUAGCCGGAGAAGAAGCCCCGGCUAACUUCGUGCCAGCAGCCGCGGUAAUACGAAGGGGGCUAGCGUUGCUCGGAAUUACUGGGCGUAAAGGGAGCGUAGGCGGACAUUUAAGUCAGAGGUGAAAUCCCGGAGCUUAACUUCGGAACUGCCUUUGAUACUGGGUGUCUUGAGUGUGAGAGAGGUAUGUGGAACUCCGAGUGUAGAGGUGAAAUUCGUAGAUAUUCGGAAGAACACCAGUGGCGAAGGCGACAUACUGGCUCAUUACUGACGCUGAGGCUCGAAAGCGUGGGGAGCAAACAGGAUUAGAUACCCUGGUAGUCCACGCCGUAAACGAUGAUUGCUAGUUGUCGGGAAGCUUGCUUCUCGGUGACGCAGCUAACGCAUUAAGCAA